ensembl:snoRNA U3 Small nucleolar RNA U3
AAGACUAUACUUUCAGGGAUCCUUUCUAUAGCUUGUUACUAGAGAAGUUUCUCUGAACGUGUAGAGUACCAUUGGAACCAACCCAAAUGCCCAUCAAUGAUAGACUGGA